UCGGCCACUACGUGCUCCCCGUGGUUCAGACUAAGAAGGACUCCUCCGUCUGUCUGUCGCACUGUCCUUACUCCACCAGCAAACAGCACAUCGAAGGGGGUGCACAGAAGAGAAGCGGCGGAGACCGCAUGGUUGGGGAGGACAAGCCUUGGGGGAGAAGUCACUGGCCAGCGGCCCCUCCCUGCCCCUUCCCCAGAGAACCCGACGCCCGCUGUCCCGUGAGACCCCCUCCACCACCCCUGGCCGCGAGAACGUCACCUGUGAUGGCAGACUAGAGCCCCCGAAAAUCCAACCCAGGGGCCCAGCACGCACUCAGCCACGACUACUUAACUGAUGUAUGAGAGUGGCCCCGGGAAAUUAAAUCUGAUUUAAGAGGAGGAAAAACCCAAGACCAUAAACCAGAAGAAAAAAAAGAAUAAAC